rnacentral:tRNA from 1 species
GGGCCGGUAGCUCAGUUGGCUAGAGCGCCUGCAUGGCAUGCAGGAGGUCAGGGGUUCGAGCCCCCUUCGGUCCACCA